rnacentral:piRNA from 1 species
ACAGAGCCCAGUACAGUACCUAUUAUUAA